CAUUUAGUUAUAAUGUGGCAAUUGAUUACAGUUCAGAGCAAAUUGUUGCUAUUGGACUAAUGAACAUUGUGUGUCCACAUUGGGAUUGAAUUUCAAAAUGAAGCCUCUGGAUUGUGUUGCGCCAGCGGCCAAGUCAAAUUGACGCCAUUGGUACCGCCACCAGAGCCACUACAUUCAUUGGUUCAUUUUUUGACUCAUAUCCAGCAGUACAAUAAUUGCUUUCAAAUGACAUCAUUUGGGGCAACAAAAGUUAUACGAGACAAUUUUUUGCCUACUUUUAGCAAAUUCAGGGAUUCAAAUAUAUCAUCAAACAGGUUCCUUAAUGCCAGUGCCUGUUGAAGACUAUACUUUUGCAAAUAUAUUUUAUGGACAAUUCAGCAAGAGAAGUCGAUCAGCGUUGCGCACACAACAGCUCAGUAAAGAGAUCCAUUGUGAUGAACAACUUCAAACAUUUUUCCUUCACCACAAUGAAUUAACUGCAUUAGACCGAUGCAUUAGACAUUCACAAAUGCAUUAGACCGCAUGCCAUCAGAUAAUAAUCACAAAAUUGUCAUCAGAGCCGAUAAGGCGCCUGCAGGACAGUGAAAUUAUUGAAUCCUAUGAAAUAAACACUAUUAUGAAAA